AACGAAGUGAAUUGAAAUAUCUUAGUAACUUUAGGAAAAGAAAUCAAACGAGAUUCUAUGAGUAGUGUGAAUGAAAGUAGAAAAGCCUAUAUAAAUAUCAGAAUAUAAUAUGCAUAAACAUAUUGUAAUAAUUAAUAUUAAUAGUAGUAUUACUAGAAUUAUAUUUUAUAUAUAAAAUCUGAUUCACUGAUUAUUAAUAAGUAAAACGGGCAUAACCUGUUUGAAAAUAGGGGAACCUUCCUCUAAGGCUAAAUAUAAUAUAUAAGCGAUAGCGCAUAGUACUGUGAAGGAAAGGAUUGAAAUAGUAGUUUUAUAAGCAGCUUGAGUAAAUAUAAAUUACAAAAGCGUACCUUUUGCAUAAUGGGUUGCCUAGAUAAAGCAAUUAUGAAAAAAUGAGUUAGUAUCUAAAAUUAGACCCGAAGCCUAGUGAUCUUACCAUAGUCAGGGUUAUAAAAGCCCGAACGGGUUAUAUCGUUGUAAAGAUAUCCGAUGAACUAUGGUAAGUUAGUGAAAGACAAUACUGACUAGGAUAGCUGGUUUUCUGCGAAACCUAUAUAAGUAGGUCAUUCAAGAUACAUCAUAGCAGGUACAGAACUGUGAUCUCAGGCAACUUUUUUUUAUACUGUUAAAAAUUUUGCAUACAUCGGGGAAUCGUGAAGAUUUUAUCGGUGAGUAUUUGCACUCGGAAGGGCAAUGAUGAGUAUUGAAUAAUCGGACAUAGUACGAUAAGGUUGUAUGUCUAAAGGGAAACAGCCCAGAACAAGAGUUAAGGUUCCAAAAUUAUUAUUAAGUGAAAAUAAGGAAGUUUCUAUCAAAUACAACUAGGAAAUAGGCUUAGAAGCUGCCAUUUUUUGAAGACCUCGUAACAGAGCACUGGUUCAGUAAAAUUUUACACGCGUAAAUAUACGUGUCUGAUAGUUGCACCAAAAAUUUAACGGAUCUAAAUAAUAUACCGAUACCUUGUCCAUAUAUAUUAAUAAUAAUUUAUUAUGUAUAAUGGGGUAGCAGAACGUUGGGUAGAUAUUAGAGAUACUCUUUUUAAGAGUAAUAAUAAGAUAACCCAAGUGAGAAUGCUGACAUGAGUAACGAAAAAGGGAUAAAACCCUCGCCUUAAGCUUAUGGAUUUUUAUCAAGUAACGGCCUCUAAGUUUACCAACCUAAAGGAUUAAACGAUGAGCAAAUCUUGUCUACAAAGUGACAACCUUUUUUCUUAUAUAAUAUAAGAAAAGUGAAAAAGGUUCUGGAAAAACAGUAAAAAGCUUUAAAACUUGUCUAAUAAACCAGGUUUAAAGUUGACAAAAAACCGUACCUAGAAACUACCACAAGUAAGCAAGUAGAGAAUACGAAGGCGUUUGAGCGAACAAUCAUUAAGGAACUCGGCAAAUUAACUACCGUAACUUCGGGAUAAGGAGAGCCAUUCCUCCUGAUUAAUAUCAGGUAAAGAAUAGGAAGCAUAGAAUAGUGUUGUACGACUGUUUAAUUAAAACAAAGCACUCUGCAUUAAGAUAAUAAAUCAAAGUAUUGAGUGUGAUUUCUGCCCGAUGUCGGCUGGUUAACGGAUUUGCUUAGUUGACUAAUAUAAGCUUGGCUUUGAAGGAAACCCCGAUCAAUGGCGGCCUUACCUAUGAGGGUCCUAAGGUAGCGGAAUACCCUGGCCGUUAAAUGCGGUCUUGCAUGAAUGAAUGAUUUAACGAUACAACAGCUGUCUCAAUGAUUGGCUCAGUGAAAUUGGAAUAACUGUGCAGAUACAGUUUACCUCUAGUUAGACGAGAAGACCCUAUGCAGCUUUACUGUUGCUAGUUAUUGAAUAUGAUUUAACAAAUUUUAGCGUAUAAGGUAAUCGACAGAUAAAAUUGAAACACCUUUAUUUAGUUUGUCAUAUUGGUAGGUCAUAAUACUUACUUCAAGAUAUAUUUGUAUACAAAUAUAUAUUGAGUUACCCUAAUACAGGGAACAAUUGCUAGGAGGCAGUUUAUGCGGGGCACAGAUCCCAUAAAAAGUACCUGGGUGUAUCCAAAGUUAUUUUUGUAAAAUUGUCGUAAUUUACUUAUGACAAAUUAAUAUAUGAAUUUUUUUUAUGUAUUUAUAUUUUUAGUAUGUUAUUUGGUAUAGCUUAGGCUAGAACUAAUCCAGUUAUAUAUCUAUUAAGUUAGAGUUAUUUUUUUUUAUUUAAGUAAGAUUUUAACUAUAUGGAAAAUAGAUGUAAUUAAAAUAUUAUGAGUAAUUCUAAUAUUUUUAGUUAUUUUAUUAGUAUGUUUAUAUAUAAACAUAAGUAGAAGAACCAAUAAAGUAAUUAUGUGUAUUACUUUUCAAGUUUAAUGGCUUAAUCUUGCUUUACUGUUUGACUUACACGUCUAUCAGUCGCGUAAGCGGGGCAUAUGAUCACAAGACGCAGAAAGGAAAGGUCUUGGAUAACAGGCUAAUUGCGCCAGGAAGUACAAAUUGAGUGCGCAGUUUGGCACCUCGAUGUCGGCUUAACUUAUCCACAUGAAUGCAGGAAUCAUGAAGGGUUCGACUGUUCGUCGAUUAAAAAGUUACACGAGCUGGGUUAAAUAAAUACGUCGUGAGACAGUAUGGUUUCUAUCUUCUAGAGGGAAUUAGAAUAAAAUAAAGAUAGCCCCCUCGUACGAAAGGAGCUGGGUAUAUUAACCUCUGGUUUACCUGUUGUUUAUGUUCCCAAUAUUAAUUUAAGUAUAAUUAAAAUUAUACAGGGAUGUUACUUUCACUUAAGUAAUUUAUAGCAUAGGCACGGCAGGAAAGCUAUGUUAGUUAAAGAUAAGUGCUGAAAGCAUAUAGGCGCGAAACUUACUUUAGGAUAUUCUUAAAUAUACGUAGCAGAAUACUACGA
rnacentral:rRNA from 1 species